AUUGAACGCUGGCGGCAUGCUUUACACAUGCAAGUCGGACGAGUGGCGAACGGGUGAGUAACAUAUCGGAACGUACCGAGUAAUGGGGGAUAACUAAUCGAAAGGUUAGCUAAUACCGCCUAUUAUUCGAGCGGCCGAUAUCGUAUUCGCUGGUUGGUGGGGUAAAGGCCUACCAAGGCGACUAUCAGUAGCGGGUCUGAGAGGAUGUUCCGAAACACGUGGCCUGAGACACGGCACAGACUCCUACGGGAGGCAGCAGUGGGGAAUCUGGUACAAUGGGCGCAAGCCUGAUCAAGCCAUGCCGCGUGUCUGAAGAAGGCCUUCGGGUUGUAAAGGACUUUUGUCAGGGAAGCGGUACCGGAAUAGAAAGCCCCGGCUAACUACGUGCCAGCAGCCGCGGUAAUAC
rnacentral:rRNA from 1 species